rnacentral:lncRNA from 1 species
CUCUCUCACUGGCAGCAACCCAGCGCUUCCAUUGCUGACCUCUACCGACCUCUACCUGUGGUCCUUCCUCUACUGCAGCAGAGACACUGUUUUCUUCCUUUGUUCUUCCAACCCCAUGGCACAGAAACACUCUCCACUGCGGCCAAGGAUUGCAGGAGAGGUGGCAUCAGUGAUUCAAGACUUCUUUUCCUACCUCUUCAGUGUUUCUUUCAGUGAUCUGAAGUUAAAGCCAGGUACCAUAAGUGCUCACCUGAUUUUUGCUGCUUACAAAGGGGGAAUAUCACAGAAGUGAAGUGCAAUUCUCAUCAUGUCAUAUCAAGAGCACACACUAACAAACAACAUGACUUAUUGCUGAAUAUUGAACUUGAUCACCUGGCUGAGGUAGUGUUUGCCAGAUUUCUCUGUAAAGGUGAAUAAACUGACACUGGAACAUUCAGGAACUUCUUCAUGGUCAUGGUCACCCAGCUAGAGUGUGGAAGCCAGGCUGUCUGAUUCCAGGAUCUGUGUUCUUAAUCCUAUACAUAAGGAAGCCAUAAUGAGUCAACCACUAUUUUUAAGAUUCACAGAUGUUCGGGUCCAAUUCACCAGAAUGCCAAGUUAUACAGGGUUGUGGAAUCAAAAACUGCAAUUAGUAAUAAAAUGUGAUGCUAUCUAGAA